rnacentral:rRNA from 1 species
GACGAACGCUGGCGGCGUGCUUAACACAUGCAAGUCGAACGGAAAGGCCCUGCUUUUGUGGGGUGCUCGAGUGGCGAACGGGUGAGUAACACGUGAGUAACCUGCCCUUGACUUUGGGAUAACUUCAGGAAACUGGGGCUAAUACCGGAUCGGAGCUCCUGCUGCAUGGUGGGGGUUGGAAAGUUUCGGCGGUUGGGGAUGGACUCGCGGCUUAUCAGCUUGUUGGUGGGGUAGUGGCUUACCAAGGCUUUGACGGGUAGCCGGCCUGAGAGGGUGACCGGCGACAUUGGGACUGAGAUACGGCCCAGACUCCUACGGGAGGCAGCAGGGGGGAAUAUUGCACAAUGGGCGGAAGCCUGAUGCAGCAACGCCGCGGGCGGGAUGACGGCCUUCGGGUUGUAAACCGCUUUCGCCUGUGACGAAGCGUGAGUGACGGUAAUGGGUAAAGAAGCACCGGCUAACUACGUG